rfam:Oryza glumipatula chromosome 2, whole genome shotgun sequence.
UUUGUGUCUCGGCUUCUCUCAGAUCUAAUCGUGCCUUCGGAUGAAUUUGUGGUUCGUGGGCAAUGGUGAGAUGUGAAGCAAAAGCAAUGUGGUCCUCUCGCUAUCCAGCGCGGAAUUUGUUGAUGCGAUUGGACGUCGAGGAUCUACAUCU